rnacentral:rRNA from 1 species
AUUGAACGCUGGCGGCAUGCCUUACACAUGCAAGUCGAACGGUAACAGGUCUUCGGAUGCUGACGAGUGGCGAACGGGUGAGUAAUACAUCGGAACGUGCCUAGUAGUGGGGGAUAACUACUCGAAAGAGUGGCUAAUACCGCAUGAGAUCUACGGAUGAAAGCAGGGGAUCGCAAGACCUUGUGCUACUAGAGCGGCCGAUGGCAGAUUAGGUAGUUGGUGGGAUAAAAGCUUACCAAGCCGACGAUCUGUAGCUGGUCUGAGAGGACGAUCAGCCACACUGGGACUGAGACACGGCCCAGACUCCUAGGGGAGGCAGAAGUGGGGAAUUUUGGACAAUGGGCGCAGGCCUGAUCCAGCAAUGCCGCGUGCAGGAUGAAGGCCUUCGGGUUGUAAACUGCUUUUGUACGGAACGAAAAGCCCUGGGUUAAUACCCUGGGGUCAUGACGGUACCGUAAGAAUAAGCACCGGCUAACUACGUGCCAGCAGCCGCCGUAAUAC